rnacentral:rRNA from 1 species
ACACAUGCAAGUCGAGGGGAAACGACAUCGAAAGCUUGCUUUUGAUGGGCGUCGACCGGCGCACGGGUGAGUAACGCGUAUCCAACCUGCCCACCACUUGGGGAUAACCUUGCGAAAGUAAGACUAAUACCCAAUGAUAUCUCUAGAAGACAUCUGAAAGAGAUUAAAGAUUUAUCGGUGAUGGAUGGGGAUGCGUCUGAUUAGCUUGUUGGCGGGGUAACGGCCCACCAAGGCGACGAUCAGUAGGGGUUCUGAGAGGAAGGUCCCCCACAUUGGAACUGAGACACGGUCCAAACUCCUACGGGAGGCAGCAGUGAGGAAUAUUGGUCAAUGGACGAGAGUCUGAACCAGCCAAGUAGCGUGCAGGAAGACGACCCUAUGGGUUGUAAACUGCUUUUAUAAGGGAAUAAAGUGAGUCUCGUGAGACUUUUUGCAUGUACCUUAUGAAUAAGGACCGGCUAAUUCCGUGCCAGCAGCCGCGGUAAUACGGAAGGUCCGGGCGUUAUCCGGAUUUAUUGGGUUUAAAGGGAGCGUAGGCCGGAGAUUAAGCGUGUUGUGAAAUGUAGACGCUCAACGUCUGCACUGCAGCGCGAACUGGUCUUCUUGAGUACGCACAACGUGGGCGGAAUUCGUGGUGUAGCGGUGAAAUGCUUAGAUAUCACGAAGAACUCCGAUUGCGAAGGCAGCUCACGGGAGCGCAACUGACGCUGAAGCUCGAAAGUGCGGGUAUCGAACAGGAUUAGAUACCCUGGUAGUCCGCACGGUAAACGAUGGAUGCCCGCUGUUGGCCUGAAUAGGUCAGCGGCCAAGCGAAAGCAUUAAGCAUCCCACCUGGGGAGUACGCCGGCAACGGUGAAACUCAAAGGAAUUGACGGGGGCCCGCACAAGCGGA